UCCAAGCCCACUAACUUUUUCUGGUCCUGGAGCCUUGGCUCAAGAAGAGAGCUCAUGGUGGAGGCCCGGAGGGCUGCAAGGCCCAAAAGCUCCACGUCGGAAACGCGCACUGGGAGAUCUGAGUCAGCGGAACGACGGGAAUUGAAGGGGAGUGAGAGUGAGGGAGAUGAAUGAAACUGAGACCGAAGCCCAAAUCCCAGAACUUCAUGAGCUCCGAUACUCAGAAUUGAUGCUGUUAUCUGCAACUUCUGUAAACACGGCCGGAGGUGCUGGAGAGGGUGGACGCAAUGAGGAGCGCCAUAAUGGAAACCCUAGGGCCCGGGAACCCCAGUCUUCUGUCUGUACCGGCAUUCCACAGUGUCUCUAGUCUUGGCAGGAAGCUCCUCCGGCUGGCUCGGGAGCUCGCGCUUCUAGAUUUCGAUGACCGCAAACUUAUUCUCAAGUAUCCAAUCACUCAAUAAACAUUUUUUUCAUCGGAGACACACAAUGUUUCACAGUUGUAUCAAUCACAAAAUUGCAGAAGCACAACUUGGGGAGAAAUGUUCCUUUGAAGAAUCCGGACAGAAAGGUGUCUUCUUUUGCAACGCGGCCUAGUCAACUCAAAGUGAACCAGGUAAGCAGAUCCCUGUUUGAGCUCGGUACAUGAUACUUUGGUUAUUGUGGACAACUUGAGAGAACAUCAAGAUGAUGACGACUUUAGCAAUCUUGGUUUAAGGAGCUUGGGUUUUGUAUCAUGGAGCUGGGGCUUUACCUUGCUAGAGCAUGUGAUAGGGCCCUUGGUGGGCACAAACUCGUGCAGAGCCUGCUGGAUUCAGGGAUGACAAAGGGCUGCCUUAUACAUUAUCAUUCAAUUCUAGAUGGCAUUAAUUUAAAGCAAGCUGACAGUAGAAAGAGGAUCCACCAAAAGACAGUCUAAUCGUUGGAGGGAACUUGGAGAAGAAUGCUCUGAAGUUAGGGAUUGUGAUAUUCAAUCUAAUCUAUGGCAGCAGUGGCAUUGGACUGUGGUAUUUUCACUGUCUUGACAGAUCUUUUACGUGAGGAUAAUGAAUUUUCAAUGUCUUGCAGUCGAGAGUGUUCUUCCCCAAGUGGGCAUACCUAUUUGCAAAAUUUUGAUCCUAACAAGGAAUCACGGAUAAUGUCCUCAUGGUGAAGACUUCUCCCGGGAGUUUAAUCAUCCAAGUUGGAGAAUCAGCUGAUAUCAUAUCAAAAGGGAAGCUUCGUUGAACACUUAAUUGUGUACGCAGACCAUCAAAGUUGAAGAAUUAGAGUAGAGAAACUUUUGAAAUGUUUCUCCAGCCUAACUGGAGCAAACUUUCUUGAUCUCAGAUUAUCCAAUUGAACACUGCAUAUUAAGUGAUCGGUUACAUAACGAGGGAGACCAUCCUGAUAAGGAGGACCUUUUAGGACAAGUAAUUUCUAAACUUAUUCCACCACUCAUGUCUCGGUCGAAAGAUGGGAUGACAUUUGCUGAAUUCUCUCGUGAAACUACCAAGCAGUAGGGUGGUACUGGUUUACAAUCCAACAGAUAAUUGGUUCUUGGGAUUCUGGAGGCACAUUUGGGUAAGCUUCAAAUGAAAUUUGUUCUAUAACACUACUUCAUAUUUUGCUUGAGUAGAUAUCAAAAUCCUUUCCUGUUCA